GCAGUCGAACGAACUCUGGUAUUGAUUGGUGCUUGCAUCAUGAUUUACAUUUGAGUGAGUGGCGAACUGGUGAGUAACACGUGGGAAACCUGCCCAGAAGCGGGGGAUAACACCUGGAAACAGAUGCUAAUACCGCAUAACAACUUGGACCGCAUGGUCCGAGCUUGAAAGAUGGCUUCGGCUAUCACUUUUGGAUGGUCCCGCGGCGUAUUAGCUAGAUGGUGGGGUAACGGCUCACCAUGGCAAUGAUACGUAGCCGACCUGAGAGGGUAAUCGGCCACAUUGGGACUGAGACACGGCCCAAACUCCUACGGGAGGCAGCAGUAGGGAAUCUUCCACAAUGGACGAAAGUCUGAUGGAGCAACGCCGCGUGAGUGAAGAAGGGUUUCGGCUCGUAAAACUCUGUUGUUAAAGAAGAACAUAUCUGAGAGUAACUGUUCAGGUAUUGACGGUAUUUAACCAGAAAGCCACGGCUAACUACGUGCCAGCAGCCGCGGUAAUACGUAGGUGGCAAGCGUUGUCCGGAUUUAUUGGGCGUAAAGCGAGCGCAGGCGGUUUUUUAAGUCUGAUGUGAAAGCCUUCGGCUCAACCGAAGAAGUGCAUCGGAAACUGGGAAACUUGAGUGCAGAAGAGGACAGUGGAACUCCAUGUGUAGCGGUGAAAUGCGUAGAUAUAUGGAAGAACACCAGUGGCGAAGGCGGCUGUCUGGUCUGUAACUGACGCUGAGGCUCGAAAGUAUGGGUAGCAAACAGGAUUAGAUACCCUGGUAGUCCAUACCGUAAACGAUGAAUGCUAAGUGUUGGAGGGUUCCGCCCUUCAGUGCUGCAGCUAACGCAUUAAGCAUUCCGCCUGGGGAGUACGGCCGCAAGGCUGAAACUCAAAGGAAUUGACGGGGGCCCGCACAAGCGGUGGAGCAUGUGGUUUAAUUCGAAGCUACGCGAAGAACCUUACCAGGUCUUGACAUACUAUGCAAAUCUAAGAGAUUAGACGUUCCCUUCGGGGACAUGGAUACAGGUGGUGCAUGGUUGUCGUCAGCUCGUGUCGUGAGAUGUUGGGUUAAGUCCCGCAACGAGCGCAACCCUUAUUAUCAGUUGCCAGCAUUAAGUUGGGCACUCUGGUGAGACUGCCGGUGACAAACCGGAGGAAGGUGGGGAUGACGUCAAAUCAUCAUGCCCCUUAUGACCUGGGCUACACACGUGCUACAAUGGAUGGUACAACGAGUUGCGAACUCGCGAGAGUAAGCUAAUCUCUUAAAGCCAUUCUCAGUUCGGAUUGUAGGCUGCAACUCGCCUACAUGAAGUCGGAAUCGCUAGUAAUCGCGGAUCAGCAUGCCGCGGUGAAUACGUUCCCGGGCCUUGUACACACCGCCCGUCACACCAUGAGAGUUUGUAACACCCAAAGUCGGUGGGGUAACCUUUUAGGAACCA
rnacentral:rRNA from 1 species